rnacentral:rRNA from 1 species
GAUUGUCCCAGCAGCCGCGGUAAUACAGAGGGUGCGAGCGUUAAUCGGAUUUACUGGGCGUAAAGCGUGCGUAGGCGGCUGAUUAAGUCGGAUGUGAAAUCCCUGAGCUUAACUUAGGAAUUGCAUUCGGUACUGGUCAGCUAGAGUAUGGGAGAGGAUGGUAGAAUUCCAGGUGUAGCGGUGAAAUGCGUAGAGAUCUGGAGGAAUACCGAUGGCGAAGGCAGCCAUCUGGCCUAAUACUGACGCUGAGGUACGAAAGCAUGGGGAGCAAACAGGAUUAGAUACCCUGGUAGUCCAUGCCGUAAACGAUGUCUACUAGCCGUUGGGGCCUUUGAGGCUUUAGUGGCGCAGCUAACGCGAUAAGCAGACCGCCUGGGGAGUACGGUCGCAAGACUAAAACUCAAAUGAAUUGACGGGGGCCCGCACAAGCGGUGGAGCAUGUGGUUUAAUUCGAUGCAACGCGAAGAACCUUACCUGGCCUUGACAUACUA